rnacentral:rRNA from 1 species
GUGCCAGCCGCCGCGGUAAUACGAAGGUCCCGAGCGUUGUUCGGAAUCACUGGGCGUAAAGGGAGCGUAGGCGGCGUGGUAAGUCAGACGUGAAAUCCCGGGGCUCAACCCCGGAACUGCGUCCGAUACUGCCGUGCUUUGAGGGUUGGAGAGGUAGCUGGAAUUCUUGGUGUAGCAGUGAAAUGCGUGGAUAUCAAGAGGAACACUCGUGGCGAAAGCGAGCUACUGGACAACACCUGACGCUGAGGCUCGAAGGCCAGGGGAGCGAAAGGGAUUAGAAACCCCAGUAGUCC